AUGGCCGCCGCCGCCCCGGCCCGCAGGCUGCUCCUGCGCCUGCGCCUCCCACUCCCCCUCUGCAACCCGCCGCCGGCCCCCGUCCCGCUCCUCCCCCACCUGCUGACGCCGCACCUCCACCCGCAGCCACCGCCGCCGGCGCCUCCGCUCCCGGACCCGAAGCUCCGUGACCUCCUCUUCGCCUUCCACCCUGCAGUGCACACAUACCCGUCCCUCGUCGACGUCCCGAGAGGAGGACCGGGCGGCCGCGACGCGCGGGAGGACGGAGGGGAGGCCAAGGAGCCGGAGGUGUGGGCGGACAGCGUCAAGAAGAAGCGCAAGCGCAAGAUGAACAAGCACAAGCUCCGCAAGCUCCGGAAGCGCCUCCGCCGCCAGACCUGA
rnacentral:rRNA from 1 species